rfam:Ictidomys tridecemlineatus contig019974, whole genome shotgun sequence.
GGGGUUGUGGCUCAGGGGUAGAGCGCUUGCCUAGCAUGCAUGAGUCACUGGGUUCAAUUCUCGGCACCA